CACUCCUUGUGCUCCAGAAAGGAAGUUUGCCUGCUAAUCAUCCGUGUCAGACCAAAAAAAAAAAGGGAGAAUCUCUUGUAUGGCUGGAAAGCCAUAGCCAUCUGACAGUCUGGUGGCAGAAAUUGAGUUCAGAUGAGAAGAGUGAUCUUUACUCAGUGAACCACAGUACUUAAUGCUGGCAAGCCACAGGCAGAAUCUGACUUUCAGGAGGCAGGAACUGUUCAAGGCAGCUGGUGGUAACUGGGCAGUUUGGACAGAAGAAUCUAACAAGUGAAGAAUGGUUGUGAAUGUACCAUGAAGCUGGCUCAGCAAAGGCUUUCCUAUAAUUAAAAUACAUCUGGCUCUGUUCUGAGUGGGAAAUCACAGAUCUCUGAAUGUUUUGAGUGUUUCCUUAUGCACAACAGCAGCAGAAAAACUCCAUAUGCCUUAACCUGUCAAAUUCUGUUCCACUUUAUCAUGUGGAUAAAUAGCUGCAAUAAGGAGCUUUAAUUUAGCAUCUUGGAUCUGAAACUGAGGGAUUCAAAGCAAAGACAAUGGAAAUGGUCAUGAAAGGUAUGAAAGGCUCAGAACAGCACUUUUUAGCAUACUGGUGUUAAUUUAAGUGUGAAAUAGCUUGCUGUCUUUCUCCAUAAAAGCUUGUGACCUACACGGGCAUUGUUCUUCCUGAUGCCAGUUCUGCACCUACAUCCUCCUGCUGCCAACGGU
rnacentral:lncRNA from 1 species